UACGAAGGGUGCGAGCGUUAAUCGGAAUUACUGGGCGUAAAGAGCACGUAGGUGGUUUGAUAAGCGGAAUGUGAAAGCCCCGGGCUUAACCUGGGAACUGCAUUCCGAACUGUCAGGCUAGAGUAUGGUAGAGGUAAGCGGAAUUUCCUGUGUAGCGGUGAAAUGCGUAGAUAUAGGAAGGAACAUCAGUUGCGAAGGCGGCUUACUGGACCAAUACUGACACUGAGGUGCGAAAGCGUGGGUAGCGAACAGG
rnacentral:rRNA from 1 species